GUCCGUUCUCUCCCUCCUGGCGGCGUAUUUCCGUGCGCGCGUGUGUUACAUGUGUGUGUGUGGCGGCCGCGCCGGGCUCUCGAGGUGAAAAUACCGCCCUCUCCUUCUACCCAACCCCUCCGUGUAUAAUACGCUGAAGGUAGCCGCUAUCUCGCGCGAGUAACAAGCACGCGAGACAAGAGGGAGGAAGAGGAGGAGUGGACGACGACGAGGAGGAGGAGAAGGUGGAGGAGGACAAGAAGCAGAAGAAGAGGAGGAGGAGGAGGAGGAGGGCGAACAACGGUGCAAGAAAGAGGUGGAAGAAAGCGGAAAAGAAAAUAACGGCGCGGACGGAGCGCGGGCGCGAGCGAGAGGGACAGCGCGAGAGGCGAGCCUGCUAAGCGAGAGAGUGAAAGAGUGUGAGGCGCCCGCUCGUCAUUUAUCCUAAUACAGCAUGACCUCCAACAAUUCGCAGAAACUCCCCACGACGGAUCGAGUGAUCAAAAAUGUCCCGUUUCCACCGUCGCACAAAAUGACAGUGGCAGAAGUCUUCGACGAACGAACAGGAUCCCCGCGGCCGGAGGUCCUCAAGCAACACUUUAUCCUCGAAGGUAGAAUUGACGAGGCUGCGGCUCUUCGUAUAAUUAAUGAUGGAGCCGCCCUUCUACGCUCGGAGAAGACUAUGAUAGAUAUCGAGGCUCCGGUCACCGUAUGCGGCGACAUUCACGGACAGUUCUACGACCUGAUGAAAUUGUUCGAAGUGGGCGGUCCACCUUCCUCGACUAAGUAUCUCUUCCUAGGCGAUUAUGUCGACAGAGGAUAUUUUAGUAUCGAGUGCGUGUUAUACCUGUGGGCGCUGAAAUUGUGCCAUCCAACCACACUUUUCCUUCUCAGAGGUAACCACGAGUGCCGUCAUCUCACGGAAUACUUCACAUUUAAGCAGGAAUGUAAAAUAAAAUACUCCGAGAGGGUGUACGACGCGUGCAUGGAUGCCUUCGACUGUUUGCCGCUCGCCGCCCUCAUGAACCAACAGUUCCUCUGCGUACACGGUGGUUUGUCGCCGGAAAUUCACAAUUUAGAAGACAUUCGCAAACUGGACAGGUUCAAAGAGCCGCCGGCGUUCGGGCCAAUGUGUGAUCUCCUCUGGUCGGAUCCUCUCGAGGAUUUCGGCAACGAGAAGAACGCGGAGCACUUUUCUCACAAUAGUGUCAGGGGUUGUUCAUACUUUUACAGUUACGCGGCGUGUUGCGACUUUCUGCAAAACAACAAUUUGCUCAGCAUCAUAAGGGCGCAUGAGGCUCAAGACGCCGGAUAUCGCAUGUAUCGAAAGUCUCAGACGACGGGCUUCCCGUCGCUCAUCACCAUCUUUAGCGCGCCCAACUAUCUCGACGUGUACAACAACAAGGCAGCGGUUUUAAAGUACGAGAACAACGUGAUGAAUAUCAGGCAGUUCAAUUGCUCGCCACACCCAUACUGGUUGCCCAAUUUCAUGGAUGUUUUCACAUGGUCCCUACCGUUUGUCGGUGAGAAAGUCACAGAAAUGUUGGUGAACGUGCUGAACAUUUGCUCGGACGACGAGCUGAUGAGCGACGGUGAUGACGCGCUCGAGGAAGUCGCCGCCAAAGUCGUUGUCCAAAAAAAGAAUGGUGCAGCAGCCAAUCUACGUAAGGAAGUGAUCAGAAAUAAAAUCAGAGCCAUUGGCAAAAUGGCACGGGUGUUCUCCGUCCUGAGAGAGGAGAGCGAGAGCGUUCUGCAGUUGAAGGGCUUGACGCCGACUGGAGCUUUACCGCUCGGUGCAUUAUCUGGUGGCAAAACCUCUCUGAAAAAUGCACUUCAAGGCUUCUCGCCGAAUCACAAAAUUACCUCGUUCGCUGAGGCCAAGGGUUUGGAUGCCAUAAACGAAAGAAUGCCACCGAGGAAAGAUGCACCGCCUACACCGGCAAACGAGGAGAAAUCCGUGGCAAAGCCGCCGCCUCCUGCGGGAGACAAGCGGGACCACAACAUGCCGCAACCGCAAUCGUGAGCCCCACAUUCGUCCACUCAAGAUGUUUGGCUUUUCGACUCAUUUAAAGGGUCAUUUACUAAUGGCGGAUGGAUGGAUGGGUCCUAAGACCCCGGCUAUCACCGCCACACCGAACAUUUGCAAACCAUUGCUCGUCUCUCCCCCCCCCCCUCCCCUUCCCCCGGCUGUUACAACCAGUGCGCCAUUCAUCGAGGAGUCAGGAGAAAUCAUCGCCGUCGCAAAAGGAAAAUCAGGAACGGACAGACGGUUGCGAAGCGAAAGCGAUUUUUCAUCGAUGCGAUUUUCAACGAGCAUCGUCAUCCCGGUGUGCGCAUAGCAAAAGAAAGCAAGCAGUCAAGGAAAGGAGGCUACACGAACAUCGAGAAAUACCCAGCCGGGUGUUUCGUAGCAGGCCUCCUCUUCUUCGAGGAUUUGCCUCCGUAUCUCUUUUUAGCGUACACUCGCGAAUGGAAAAUGAGAAUGUUAGCCUCCCUUCUGCGAUGAACCGCGCGCGUGCGAUGUUCUCCGUUCUCUCGCCGCUCGUACAAUUAUUCCUUGCUCUUUUUCUUUCUAUCUCUCUAUAUAUAUAUCUCUCUCUCUCUCCUAUAUAUCUUAUCUCCUUACCUUCGCUCCGUCUCUCGCAAUUUCUCGCUCUUCUUCUCUUCCCAGCAUCCACGGACCUGUACACUACACUGUCCGCGUACACUUUCUCGCGAAUUAAUCGACCCAAUGUACAUACGCGCGCGCGCGCGCAUGUACGUAUAUAUCAACGAGCGGAACGGUAGCGAUAUAUCUUAUAGGUAGAUUCGUUUACACGUCGACAUGUUCAUGUAUAAGGAAGAACGACUUCCCCCUGUCUUCAUUAAGUACCAUUUCUCUCGUGUCAUUUCUUUCUCCGAUGUGGGAAAGCGAUGAGAGACGGAACGAACGACUCGCGCGCGGUUACAUCUAUAUUAAUGAGAGGAAUCGCAUAGACAGUGUGAAAGAGAGAGAAUGAGAGGGAGAGAAAGAGAAAGAGAGAACGGACGAGCGGUCUCCGCCAAAGAAACAAAGAAGGCAGCUGGCCUGUCGUCACGGCGGAGCUUCCGGUUUUAGGAUUUUACUAGGUUCUUAAGAUGUGUCCGCCCUAGGUGACGCGCGUAAGGGCAUCCC